UACCGGAAGUCAUAGUCAAGUUGUGCGUGUUCAUGAGCACGGGAGCAGGAUUGGACCCGGCAAAACACGUUAGCUACCGUGGGAAGAAGAGAACCAGCCGGUGGAUCAAUCCACGGGAUGAAACAAAUAUAUGUUUGUUUGUCACCGUUCAGCUAUCAUACACUUCACGUUCUCAUUCGGAGCGUCUCGAUAAGAAGAGG